UGGAUAUCUUUGCAUUUGUCAAAUUAUGAGGUCAUGUAUACAGUGUCAUGAUUUCUGAAAACAGCUCAACAGAGUAGAUGGGGUGAGUAAUGAGGCUCACAUCAAUUAUACAAUUACCUGGAAGGAUAUCUUGUACAUGGUGAAGAGUUAAGUCGCCUAAUACAUCAUCAUGAUCGAUGGAAAUCAGCUCAAUAGUAUUAGACUGUGUGAGUAAUGGCUCACAUUAUCUUGUUACCUUGAUGGUUAUCAUAACUAUUAUCAAAUCACGAGGUCACUUCAUGCAGUUUCAUGAUUGCUGAAGAUCAGCUCAUGAUAAUGGAUGGGGUGAGCAAUGAGGACAUAUUAUUACAGAAUUACCUCGAUGGAUAUCUUGUAUAGUGCCUUGAAGAGUGAAGUCACUGUCAUGAUCCUAAAAUCACCUAAGAGAAUUAUGAGACUGGGUGAGUAAUGGCUACCAUUGUAUUGUUACCUGGAUGGAUAUCUCAACAGUUUCCGAAUUAUGAGGUCACUUCAUACAUUGUCAGGAUGCUGAAAAACUACUUCAGAUAAUAGUUCAGGUUAGUCAGGUUCAUAGUUUACAAUUAUGCAAAUUGCAUGGAUGGAUAUAUUGUAAAUGUGUGAGAGUUGAAUCACUUAAUACAGUGUCAUGAUUGCUGAAAAUCAGCUCAAGAGAAUUAGCCUGGGUGAGUAAUUGGUUUGUAACCUGGAUGGAUAUCAUAACAGUUAUCAGGUCACUUCAUAUAGUGUCAUGAUUGCUCAAAAUCAGCUCAAGGUAAUACAUUGGCUGGGUAAAGUCGCAUUACACUUAUACAAUUGGAUGGAUGUCUUGUUAUAUGAGUGGGAGUUGAAUCACUUGAAGAAAUGUGGAGUUACCAACAACAGCUAUAGCAAUAACAUGGAUGGAUAUCUCGUCUAUGGAUGAUAUCUUGUAUGUGGUGAAGAGCUAAUAACAAUAGCAACAACAGCUAUGGCAAUAACAUGGAUGGAUAUCUCGUACAUGGUUCGUUAUCUUGUAUAUGGUGAAAAGUUAACAGCAGCAGCAGCAACAUGAAUGGAUAUCUCGUAUAUGGUAAAAAGUUAACAGCAGCAACAAGAAGAAGUGUAUCAUAAUACCAAAUAAGUUGGACGGUGAAGAGUUAUCAAGUAGCUCCAAGACAUAGGAUGUGACAAUGUCAGUUAGAGGUGACAAAUAGUUGGACAGCAUUGCUGGAGGAAGGUAGCAGGUGCUUGGUGGAAUAGUCGAAGUGCGGGAAUAGUUGAAAUGCGCACAAGCUGGCUGAACACCAACAACAACAACCACCGUCAUAAAAAAAAUUGUCUGUAUACUACUUUUCUUGCUUCAAGAUCGGCAUCUUUGGCUCCUUGAUAGACAAUGCUGUUGGUGAUAUAGUAAAGAGUAGAUGGAUGGCAGCAGGGUUAAGGUUACGUUUUGGCGAACUUUCUGGGGUAAGAGAAAAUCUCAACAUUGCCUCUUCUGCUUCACAAGUGUUGGAAUAUCUAGCAAUUGAGCUUAGGAGUAGCUUGAGGAGAAUGUAAAGGUUAAAGGUCCAGUUCCAGAUAAGUCUGUUUUUAGCAAAUCUGAGUACAAGAUGGUAUUAUGAGAAUCUGCUGAUUCUCUUUUAUAUUAAGUACUUUGGUAUUGUAAAUAUAUGUACUCUAGGAUCUUUUCCUAUGUGCUGACUGUAGUUUGUGAAGCUUGAAACUGUUGUUAUUGUACU